GAUGAACGCUAGCGACAGGCUUAACACAUGCAAGUCGAGGGGCAGCACAGGUAGCAAUACCGGGUGGCGACCGGCGCACGGGUGAGUAACGCGUAUGCAACUUACCUAUCAGAGGGGGAUAACCCGGCGAAAGUCGGACUAAUACCGCAUGAAGCAGGGGUCCCGCCUGGGGAUAUUUGCUAAAGAUUCAUCGCUGAUAGAUAGGCAUGCGUUCCAUUAGGCAGUUGGCGGGGUAACGGCCCACCAAACCGACGAUGGAUAGGGGUUCUGAGAGGAAGGUCCCCCACAUUGGUACUGAGACACGGACCAAACUCCUACGGGAGGAAGCAGUGAGGAAUAUUGGUCAAUGGCCGAGAGGCUGAACCAGCCAAGUCGCGUGAGGGAUGAAGGUUCUAUGGAUCGUAAACCUCUUUUAUAAGGGAAUAAAGUGCGGGACGUGUCCCGUUUUGUAUGUACCUUAUGAAUAAGGAUCGGCUAACUCCGUG
rnacentral:rRNA from 1 species